AGCAGUGAUUACCACCCUCCAAAGGUGAGCCCGUGAGCUAAACCACAGAUAUCUAAAUUCUAUGGUUCCAAGAAAAUGAAACAGAAAGAGGUCCUUUCAGUUCUGUUAGAUCCAAAGCAAACACCCCUGUAGGCCAGGUGGGGGCUGCAGGGGCUGUAUUUUGACUUAGGCAUUAACCAGGGUAACCAAGUGAUCAAGCGCUCUAAACUGAAGAAGGAGGAAAGGAAAGCAGCAGGGCUCCUGCUGACGACCUUUUUUUGAGCAGGUGACUCCUCCCUCCUCAGCUGGGUAAUUGGAUUGCCUCGACUACUCUGUGAUGCCCAGACUCUUUUCUGUGGGCAGCAAACUCCCUGUUAUGGGAUAUGACUGGAGAAGAGAGAAUUGUCUCCUGGUGAACAGACUCCAGAAAGAGUGGCACAACCCUUUCCACCACCACCAUCCAGCCUGUUGUUCCACGACUUGCUUAACCAACCGGGGACUCAGACUUCUCACCCCUAAGUAAGGUUAGUAAGAGCAGUUCUAUGAAUUUCCUGGUGGAGUCUGAGUGGAAGAUAAAAGGACAAUUGAAAAUACUUUGUCAAGGGGUGCCUGGGUGACUCUGUCGGUGAAGCGUUGGGCUCUUGAUUUCAGCUCAGGUCAUGAUCUCAGGGUCUUGAGAUUGAGCCCCACACUGGGUUCCCUGCUCAGCACGGAGUCUGCUUGAGAUUCUCUCUCUUCCUCUCUCCCCACUCUCUCUUUCUCUCUCAAAAAGAUAAAAUCUUAAAAAAAAAAAAAAGAAAAUACUUUCUGGAAAGUUGAAAGGUAAAGACCCUAUACUUUAUGUGCUGAUCUUUGCUUCCAGUGUAACCAAAAAGGGCCAGGUGUGCACAACUGAGCCCAGUGAGAGCCAGUUAAAGUAAAGCUUCUUUCUCAGAGGUCCCGUGUGUAUGCAUUUGUCAUCAGCAUCUCAUCCUUUGAAUAAGAGGCGAGGAAAAACAUACCUGAGAGAGAAACAGAGAUGGGAAAAGGCAUGGUUCUGAUGAUGAUGGUUCAGGAAGGCAACACCUUUUCUCCAAUGGAAGUGGGAGUUCCCUGGGGGCUAGGAAGAAACGUUCUUAUAUGGCCCCCAUGAUCUGUGUGGUGUGGCCACAUCCUUCUGCAGAUAGAGGAGAAAAAGCCACUGAGCAAGGAUAAUUGAAAGUCUAUGUGAGGGUGGGGAAGCUUGAUGGUGUGAUGAUGAUGAUGGCAAUGCUGUCCGCAAGUGUCUGCUACGUGCCACAGGUUUUACUCAGCUUUGGGCCAUAUUUACCUCAUGUUCCCACAGCACUGUGAUUUGGGUAUUCUUAUUCUGCAGAUCAGGUCGUAAGCUCAGAGAGGGUCUUUGCUCAAAGUUGUAUCUCUACUAAGCAGUAGAAUCAUGAUUUGAGCCCAGAUCUGUUUCAACUCUUAAGCCUGUGGGGGUUUUUUGUUGUUGUUUUUGUGUUUUUAUUUUCUACCUGGCUAAAUUUUCCAAGUUCCUAGGGAAGAGGGGAGCCAUUGGUCUUCGAAAGGAAGAGAGGAGGAAAGGAUGGGAAGCAUACCAAGAGAUGUUCAAAUGGUCUCUGCGUAUCCACGGGGAAGGAAUUGUGUCUGUCUUUCUACCACGGUAUCCUCACACCUGUUCUCCACACAGAACAGGAGCUCACUAAAUAUUUUUCAAUGAAUGGAUGAAUUAGUAAAUGAGUGAAACAUAAAAUAGCACAGAUAUUUUGAAGGGUACAGAGGAGAAAAUAAGGAACUUUUAACAAAUAAGCAUUAUGUCUUGAGAGGAG
ensembl:lncRNA